rnacentral:rRNA from 1 species
GAUCAUGGCUCAGAUUGAACGCUGGCGGCAGGCCUAACACAUGCAAGUCGAACGGUAACAUAAAGAAGCUUGCUUCUUUGAUGACGAGUGGCGGACGGGUGAGUAAUGCUUGGGAAUCUAGCUUAUGGAGGGGGGAUAACAGUUGGAAACGACUGCUAAUACCGCAUAAGCGCACGGUAUCGCAUGGUACAGUGUGAAAAACUCCGGUGGUAUGAGAUGGACCCGCGU